rnacentral:rRNA from 1 species
UGAUGACGAGACGCUAAGGCGUUGAAGUGGUGUAUGUCAGACUUCCAAGAAAAGCUCGCAAUGUCAUAGAUAAAAAAUGCCUGUACCAUAACCGACACAGGUGGGUAGGUAGAGUAUACUAAGGGGCGCGAGAUAACUCUCUCUAAGGAACUCGGCAAAAUGACUCCGUAACUUCGGGAGAAGGAGUGCCUUAUUUAUAAGGUUGCAAUAACAAGAUCCAAGCAACUGUUUAUCAAAAACACAGGUCUCCGCUAAGUCGUAAGACGAUGUAUGGGGGCUGACGCCUGCCCAGUGCCAGAAGGUUAAAGAAGUUGGUUAGUGUAAGCGAAGCUGAUAACUGAAGCCCUGGUGAACGGCGGCCGUAACUAUAACGGUCCUAAGGUAGCGAAAUUCCUUGUCGGGUAAGUUCCGACCCGCACGAAAGGCGUAAUGAUUUGGAUACUGUCUCGGAGAGAGGCUCGGUGGAAUAGACUUGUCUGUGAAGAUGCGGACUACCUGCACCAGGACAGAAAGACCCUAUGAAGCUUUACUGUAACUUGAAAUUGGAAUUGGACUUUGCUUGCGCAGUAUAGGUGGGAAGCGUUGAAGAUACUCUUGCGGGACUAUUGGAGCUAUCAGUGAGAUACCACUCUUGUAAUGUUAGAUUUCUAACUUUGAACCAUAAUCUGGUCAAAGAACAGUUUCAGGCGGGCAGUUUGACUGGGGCGGUCGCCUCCUAAAUGGUAGCGGAGGCGUACAAAGGUUUCCUCUGAACGGAUAGAAAUCGUAUCUAGAGUGUAAAGGCAUAAGGAAGCUUGACUGUGAGACCUACAAGUCGAGCAGGGACGAAAGUCGGUCUUAGUGAUCUGACGGUACUGAGUGGAAAGGCCGUCACUCAACGGAUAAAAGUUACUCUAAGGAUAACAGGCUGAUCUCCCCCAAGAGUUCACAUCGACGGGGAGGUUUGGCACCUCGAUGUCGGCUCAUCGCAUCCUGGGGCGGUAGUACGUCCCAAGGGUUGGGCUGUUCGCCCAUGAAAGCGGUACGCGAGCUGGGUUCAGAACGUCGUGAGACAGUUCGGUCCAUAUCCGGUGUAGGCGUUAGAAUAUUGAGAGGAGCCUUCUUUAGUACGAGAGGACCGAGAAGGACACACCGCUGGUGUACCAGUUAUCGUGCCAACGGUAAACGCUGGGUAGCUAUGUGUGGAGAGGAUAACCGCUGAAAGCAUCUAAGUGGGAAGCCCACCUCAAGAUGAGUAUUCUCAU